UCUCCGUUGGUGAACCAGCGGAGGGAUCAUUACAGGAUCGAAAGACUCCUAUAACCCCUGUGAACUUACUACAAAUACGUUGCUUCGGCGGGUGCCCCGGGUCUCCCGGGGCGUUCAGCCUGCCGGCAGCCUUCAAAUUCUGUUUCUUUGCGUUGGCAUCUCGAGUAUACAAAAAUAAGUUAAAACUUUCAACAACGGAUCUCUUGGUUCUG
rnacentral:misc_RNA from 1 species